rnacentral:rRNA from 1 species
AGGGAAUCUUCGGCAAUGGACGGAAGUCUGACCGAGCAACGCCGCGUGAGUGAAGAAGGUUUUCGGAUCGUAAAGCUCUGUUGUAAGAGAAGAACGAGUGUGAGAGUGGAAAGUUCACACUGUGACGGUAUCUUACCAGAAAGGGACGGCUAACUACGUGCCAGCAGCCGCGGUAAUACGUAGGUCCCGAGCGUUGUCCGGAUUUAUUGGGCGUAAAGCGAGCGCAGGCGGUUAGAUAAGUCUGAAGUUAAAGGCUGUGGCUUAACCAUAGUACGCUUUGGAAACUGUUUAACUUGAGUGCAAGAGGGGAGAGUGGAAUUCCAUGUGUAGCGGUGAAGUGCGUAGAUAUAUGGAGGAACACCGGUGGCGAAAGCGGCUCUCUGGCUUGUAACUGACGCUGAGGCUCGAAAGCGUGGGGAGCAAACAGGAUUAGAUACCCUGGUAGUCCACGCCGUAAACGAUGAGUGCUAGGUGUUAGACCCUUUCCGGGGUUUAGUGCCGUAGCUAACGCAUUAAGCACUCCGCCUGGGGAGUACGACCGCAAGGUUG